GCCGGAGUGGUGGAAUUGGUAGACACAAGGGACUUAAAAUCCCUCGAGCUUUAAGCUUGUGCCGGUUCAAGUCCGGCCUCUGGUACCA
rnacentral:tRNA from 1 species